rnacentral:lncRNA from 1 species
GGGAGGCUGGAGGAAGAAGAACUAACAAAUAUAUUGAAGAGUGCAAAUGGUCGGAUGUCCGACUAUUUUCAUGGUAAUUAAUCCAACUUGUUUCAUUUUUUUUAACUUGCAUAUUUUUCUUCUUCAAUUCCAUUAUCCAUCGAUAACAAGUUAUUCAUAAUUUCUUUCAUUUCGUAGGUUUGAGUCCUGGAACACACUAAUUUUGCAAAACCCGAUCGACCAAAGAUGGGUCGACUAACAGAUCACUAAUAUCCCUAUUCUCUCGAUCUAUUCAGGGAGAUAUAUGCAUGAGGAUGUGAACCAAGGACGUACAAGCUGAUCAGUGUUGAUGAGAAACCCUCAUCAUUAAUUUAUAGUGGAAUCCAUAUAUCAUCCCAGUAUUUUGAACAUCUUAUAAUAACAUAUCCUAUGUAUGUCCAAACAAGGUUUUAAAAAGACAAAUUGUAUGACAUUAACCUCCAUGUUAUUAU